GCCAAAAAUGAUACACAGAUCAAAAUAUAUGGGCUUCUAAACAUGGCUAAUCAAAACUGAUGCGGCUGAAAAGUUGCUCACCGGAAAAGACACGGAGUUCGCCGGAGAUUAAGGAGGAUGGCGAUGAUGUCGAUGUAGGGUUCGAUGGGGCUGUGGAAGACGUCGAGGCCGAUAUCGUGACGCGGUUUUUGGGGUCGAGGGUGCCUCCGGACGGCGACGGCGGAGCUCCGGGUGCGGCGUCGGCAUGGGGUCGGGGUUUGACGCGGCCAACGGCGACGGUUGUUCGCACAACCUUGUCACAGAGGUAGACACGGGUCAUAGGAGCCUACCGGUGAAAGGAAUUUAGAAAUGGACCUUCGGAGAGAUCUCACCGGCAACAAUGGUGGCGGUGACCGGCGGAGGAAGGCGUCGAUGUAGCCGGCUGUACAUAUGUUUAGAGGCAAAGAUUUCCACAUGGGAAUGGGAGAGGAGAGGCAAAGGCUUAAAUUGACGUGCGUGGAAUCCUUUUAUAUUGGCCGAGGAGGGAGAUCGGGCGUGGAUGUCGACGUGCGGCAUUCGGGGCGCCUCUUUUGGAAACUGCGAUUAUGAGAGAAAAUUUCAAAUUGAUUGCCUAAAUCGAUUCCUGGGAUGGCGAGGAUUGAUGGGGUGCUUUCCUUUCGAAGAGAGACGCGCGGGAAGGAAAGAAAUCGAAGAAAGAAAACAUGGCAGGAGGACUUUCCUUACGUGUAGAGGAGGAAGAAGAGCAUGAGCUCCUGCGGCUGGGGUACUCGGUGGAGAUGGGCCGGCCCAGUUUGGGUCGGUCCAUUCUUUUUUUUUUCCUUUUUUUUCUAUUUUCUGUUUUUAUUAAUAACUUUUGAUUCCUAAUUCCAAAUAAGUCUAGAUAAACUCCAGAAAAUUUGUAAAUUUAAAUCCUUCGAAGUGUGAUCUUUUGGGACUUGAAUCCUUUCAAAAUAAAAUAAGUAAAAAUACUUUUGCUUAUAUAAAAGUCAUUAGGGCUUUAUAAAUAAUAAACAAAAUAGAUUUUCAAUUCUAUUAUGAAACCUUUGUUUCGUAAAUUAGUUUAAACUCCAAUAAAAAUAUUAGGUUGGCAUACUUUGCACUAAAACCCUUCCUUAGCUAAAUACCCCAUUGGGUUGAACUCCAAAUAAUUGAACUCCAAAUAAAAACUCAUAAUAAUUAUAUGGUUCAAUAAAUUCCUAAAUAGAUUUAUAACACCAAAUCACUCACUUUGAAAUCAUAGCAAAUGUUUCCAACUAUAUAUAAUUUGGGAAGUCACGUUAUCCCACUCUUAACGACGGAAUAAAUGUUGGAAUAACAUUUGCACAUGAGGAUGUCACGUUAUCCUCUUCCCGAAUAUUUGAUAGUUUCCUCUUGGAAACAAAAUGAACACAGC
rnacentral:lncRNA from 1 species